rnacentral:lncRNA from 1 species
CUGCAACAGCCGACGCCGACCGAGAGAGGGGCGGUGAUAGGGUUGUUGUAGCGGCGUCUGCCGCAACUUCAGCGGCGGCAUGUGAUGCCGCUGCAACCGCUGCCGCUGUCUUCAGCAACGCUUUCGCGCUGUUUUGGGCAUGCUUGCAUGAUGGAUGUGGCGCUAGUGAUGAUAUCGGCUCCUAAACAAAAAAAAAAUUAUUAUCUUAGGGUUUUGCAGAAAACGGGAGAGUGUGGGUUUGUGUUGCAAUUUCUUAAAUUGUAAGCCCCCGCAUGCAAUUACAUAAAAGGGUCGAAGUUGCAAUUUUAAAACAAGGGGCCUGUUCUUAAAUUUGUUAAAAUAGAAGGGCUUGUUUUUAAUCUUGAGUCUUGGGUCAAAUUGCAAAUUUUGAAAGUAUUUAAAUUU